rnacentral:rRNA from 1 species
CCUACGGGAGGCAGCAGUGGGGAAUAUUGGACAAUGGGCGCAAGCCUGAUCCAGCAAUGCCGCGUGAGUGAUGAAGGCCUUAGGGUCGUAAAGCUCUUUUACCAGGGAUGAUAAUGACAGUACCUGGAGAAUAAGCUCCGGCUAACUCCGUGCCAGCAGCCGCGGUAAUACGGAGGGAGCUAGCGUUGUUCGGAAUUACUGGGCGUAAAGCGUACGUAGGCGGUUAUUCAAGUCAGAGGUGAAAGCCCGGGGCUCAACCCCGGAACGGCCUUUGAAACUAGGUAGCUAGAAUCUUGGAGAGGUCAGUGGAAUUCCGAGUGUAGAGGUGAAAUUCGUAGAUAUUCGGAAGAACACCAGUGGCGAAGGCGACUGACUGGACAAGUAUUGACGCUGAGGUACGAAAGCGUGGGGAGCAAACAGGAUUAGAUACCCUGGUAGUCCACGCCGUAAACGAUGAUAACUAGCUGUCCGGGCACUUGGUGCCUGGGUGGCGCNGCUACGCAUAGUUAUCGUCCGUGGAGUACGGUCGCGAGAUAAACUACAANAGAUAGUAAGGUGUGAGAGUGCGAGACGACGACGAGGAGAGG